rnacentral:lncRNA from 1 species
GAAGUGAUUUGAGUGCAGCAUGCCCUGACAGAGGGACAGAGGAAACCCCACACCAAGGAUGGAUAACUAAAACUGAUGAAUAAAUUUAUGGAAUACACGCACGAAUAGUGUCCAUGUUGUUUGACAUAACACACUCGGUUGCGAACAACAUGUUGAAGCUAACUUUUGUCUGGUGGACAUCAUCCGACACGUGUAAGACAAUCCUAGGCAAUUCAUGACUACGUUCUCUGCUCUUACUUUAAUUCCAAGCUUGCGUCAUAUGUUAUUG